GCACAUGGUCCUGUUCGUACUCCAGGAUGGCGGCGUAAAGGGCCCGCUGCUCCCGUUCCUCCGGGGUCAGGGCGACUUGGCUGCAAAACCUCCUGGGGAGAAAGGCACGCGGUGGGUGCCGGGGCCAGGCCCUCCCCGCAGCGGCCCCAGGGGCGGGCAGGAGUCCCACCUGUUGGCGGCCUCCUGGAGCCGCAGCCGGCGCUCCUCCAUCUUUCUCUGGAGCUGGGUGCAGAGUCAAGGGGCCGAGCGUGGGAUCUGAGCGGGCCCUCGGUUCCCAACCCCGUCCCACACCCGGAGAGGCCGGGACGUCCCAGGGACCUCCUCUCGGUGAGGGGCUGUCCCCAGCUUCUGAUUCUGCAGGGAGGCCUCCUCCAGUGGCGUCAGCUCUCUGGAAAUGUGACAAGCUGCUGUCUAGACCCCAGGAAGCCCAGUGGUGUCUGGACACCAGAGGAGUCUCUCUCAUCCUCCCGGAUUGCUCUGAGGCCAGGAGCUUUGUGACUCUGCCCCCUGAAGCUUCUGGAAGAUCUCGGGUGGCAGAAAAGGAGAGAGCUUUCCUCCUUCAUCGGAGUAUACACGGCGGUGUCGGCCGGCAGGCUGGGGAAUGGGAGCAGCUGCAGGCAUGGUUGGCUUCAGGCGUGUUUUCCCUGCAAGCCAUGGGUAACCAGGGGUCAAGCGGUGGGCCACAUCCCACAGAGGAGAUGCGGGCUUGGGGGAUGCCCCAGGAGAGCCGCCUACUGCAGGAGACCCACCAAGCUUGGCGGCCGUCGACUGGGCCCUCUCCAGACACUGCUGUGCUAGCUUCAGCAUCUUGGAGGUGUCGGGGGGCACAGUUUCCCCAGCUUCUGGGGGAGGGACAAGAAGGCUGGUCACAGUCGGCUCUACCACUGUUACUUACUGCUGAGAUAAAAUGAGGCAACGGAAAAGGCCUCUGGGAAGUGGCCGUUUUACAGAGACAAGGACGUGCUGAGGGGAUCGCCUCACCCAUCUCCCACCGGCUGUGUCCCCAAAGUCCUGCCUUCCCGUAGCUUGGCAUGGAGCACCUCUGCGCGACCAUGGACCUGCUCACACAGCCCUUCUGCGCGCCGUGGGAGCUGCCUCUCUGUGACUCGCCCCUGGACCCACCGCCCCAGCGCCUGACCCACCUCCCUGCUGCCCUUCACAGAAAACUUCUCAUAGACUCCCAUUUUCUCAUCCCGCCCCGAUUUAGCCCCCGACUCCCCCCGGAAACUGCCCUUACCCGUCCCCACCUUGCCAGACACGGUGGGCCACUGGAGUUCCUCUGUCUUCUGGGACUUUGCUCUCCCCAGGGGAUCCUCUGCCACUCCUCCACCCAACUCCUCAAUCUUGGAGCGCCAGAGCUCAGCCGAGCUCACCGGCUCCCUAGGGAGCUGGGGCAACUGUUAGCUCCCCCUGACCUGUGUGAUCCUACGUCCAG
rnacentral:lncRNA from 1 species